rnacentral:tRNA from 1 species
GGAGGAGACAGCUCAGGGGUAGAGCGCGUGCUUAGCAUGCACAAGGUCCUGGGAUCAACCCCCCGUACCUCCA